UUUUAAAUGGAGAGUUUGAUUCUGGCUCAGAACUAACGCUGGCGGCGCGCCUAAUACAUGCAAGUCGAACGGGGUAGCAAUACCCAGUGGCGCACGGGAGAGUAACACGUGGAUAAUCUCCCCUCGAGAGAAGAACAACCAGUCGAAAGAUUGGCUAAUACUUUAUAAGACCACAGAGACUAAUGUCUCAGAGGUAAAAGUCGUAAGACGCUUGAGGAUGAGUCUGCGUCCCAUUAGCUAGUUGGUGAGGUAAUGGCUCACCAAGGCAACGAUGGGUAGCUGGUCUGAGAGGAUGAUCAGCCUCACUGGAACUGACACACGGUCCAGACUCCUACGGGAGGCAGCAGUAGGGAAUAUUGCACAAUGGAGGAAACUCUGAUGCAGCGACGCCGCGUGAGUGAUGAAGGACUUCGGUUUGUAAAGCUCUGUUGUCAGGGAAUAAAAAAAUGAAUGUACCUGACGAGAAAGGACCGGCUAACUUCGUGCCAGCAGCCGCGGUAAUACGAAGGGUCCAAGCGUUGUUCGGAAUCAUUGGGCGUAAAGCGAGUGCGGGUGGCUCUUUAAGUCAGGAGUGAAAGCCCAGGGCUCAACCCUGGAAGUGCUUUUGAUACUGGAGAGCUUGAAUGUGGCAGAGGGUGCUAGAAUACCUAGUGUAGUGGUGAAAUACGUAGAUAUUAGGUGGAACACCGGUGGCGAAGGCGGGCACCUGGGCCAACAUUGACACUUAGACUCGAAAGCGUGGGGAUCAAACAGGAUUAGAUACCCUGGUAGUCCACGCCGUAAACGAUGGAUACUUGAUGUUGGAGGUAUUGACCCCUUCAGUGUCGAAGCUAACGCGUUAAGUAUCCCGCCUGGGAAGUACGGUCGCAAGAUUAAAACUCAAAGAAAUUGACGGGGGCCCGCACAAGCGGUGGAGCAUGUGGUUCAAUUCGAUGCAACGCGAAGAACCUUACCUGGGUUUGACAUGUACUGGAAGACUACCAGAAAUGGUGUCGCCUUCGGGCCGGUACACAGGUGCUGCAUGGCUGUCGUCAGCUCGUGUCGUGAGAUGUUGGGUUAAGUCCCGCAACGAGCGCAACCCCUGCCAUUAGUUGCCAGCAUUUAGUUGGGCACUCUAAUGGGACUGCCGACGUUAAGUCGGAGGAAGGUGGGGAUGACGUCAAGUCCUCAUGGCCCUUAUAUCCAGGGCAACACACGUGCUACAAUGGUCGGUACAGUGGGAAGCCAAGUCGUAAGAUGGAGCUAACCCCCCAAAACCGAUCUAAGUUCGGAUUGGAGUCUGCAACUCGACUCCAUGAAGCUGGAAUCGCUAGUAAUCGUGGAUCAGAACGCCACGGUGAAUACGUUCCCGGGCCUUGUACACACCGCCCGUCACACCAUGAAAGUUGGUUAUACCAGAAGUCGCUGUGCUAACUUCGGAGGCAGGCGCCCAAGGUAUGAUUGAUGAUUGGGGUGAAGUCGUAACAAGGUAGCCGUAGGGGAACCUGCGGCUGGAUCACCUCCUUUCUA
rnacentral:rRNA from 1 species